CAAAGUCCCUGCGCGCGGGAAGGAGCCAGACGCGGUCCAGGGCCGCAAAGCGUCCCAACGGCUCGUGUUCUUUGAGGGCAAGCGGAACAGUGUGGUUACGAAAGUAGCUACUUCCUACCCCUUGCUGCCCACCUCCCGCCCCGCCCUCUGCCCCCUCCUCCAUUUACUUCCAUUUACCCAGACCGUCCUUCACAUGAUUGCUGUUGAAUAGAAAAGAUCCAGCGAUCAAGAAAGAAUUUAUCAAUAGAUCUGCUACCUCAUAAAGAAGAGGUCUUGGUUGAUGACUUGAGUCCAUUCAGAGCUUGGACAGGGGAAGAUUGUGCACCUUAGUCCCCACAGUCACCGCACUUUAUUUACCCCAGGCGCUGCUUUUUGGAUACCUGCUUUGUUACUUAACGGUAGUUAUUUGCAAAAUAAACCUCAUUUUGUGUAGGA